rnacentral:rRNA from 1 species
UACGGAAGGCAGCAGUGGGGAAUAUUGCACAAUGGGCGAAAGCCUGAUGCAGCUAUGCCGCGUGUAUGAAGAAGGCCUUAGGGUUGUAAAGUACUUUCAUCGGGGAGGAAAAAACAAAACUAAUAAUUUUAUUUCUUGACGUUACCCGAAAAAGAAGCACCGGCUAACUCCGUGCCAGCAGCCGCGGUAAUACGGAGGGUGCUAGCGUUAAUCAGAAUUACUGGGCGUAAAGAGCACGUAGGUGGUUUUUUUAAGUCAGAUGUGAAAUCCCUGGGCUUAACCUAGGAACUGCAUUUUGAAACUGAAAAUACUAGAGUAUCGUAGAGGGAGGUAGAAUUCUAGGUGUAGCGGUGAAAUGCGUAGAUAUCUGGAGGAAUACCUGUGGCGAAAGCGGCCUCCUAAACGAAUACUGACACUGAGGUGCGAAAAGCGUGGGGAGCAAAACAGGGAUUAGAUACC